rnacentral:rRNA from 1 species
AUUGAACGCUGGCGGCAGGCCUAACACAUGCAAGUCGAGCGGCAGCGGAAAGUAGCUUGCUACUUUGCCGGCGAGCGGCGGACGGGUGAGUAAUGUCUGGGAAACUGCCUGAUGGAGGGGGAUAACUACUGGAAACGGUAGCUAAUACCGCAUGACCUCGAAAGAGCAAAGUGGGGGACCUUCGGGCCUCACGCCAUCGGAUGUGCCCAGAUGGGAUUAGCUAGUAGGUGAGGUAAUGGCUCACCUAGGCGACGAUCCCUAGCUGGUCUGAGAGGAUGACCAGCCACACUGGAACUGAGACACGGUCCAGACUCCUACGGGAGGCAGCAGUGGGGAAUAUUGCACAAUGGGCGCAAGCCUGAUGCAGCCAUGCCGCGUGUGUGAAGAAGGCCUUCGGGUUGUAAAGCACUUUCAGCGAGGAGGAAGGGUUCAGUGUUAAUAGCACUGUUCAUUGACGUUACUCGCAGAAGAAGCACCGGCUAACUCCGUGCCAGCAGCCGCGGUAAUACGGAGGGUGCAAGCGUUAAUCGGAAUUACUGGGCGUAAAGCGCACGCAGGCGGUUUGUUAAGUCAGAUGUGAAAUCCCCGAGCUUAACUUGGGAACUGCAUUUGAAACUGGCAAGCUAGAGUCUUGUAGAGGGGGGUAGAAUUCCAGGUGUAGCGGUGAAAUGCGUAGAGAUCUGGAGGAAUACCGGUGGCGAAGGCGGCCCCCUGGACAAAGACUGACGCUCAGGUGCGAAAGCGUGGGGAGCAAACAGG